rnacentral:rRNA from 1 species
UGGCGAAGGCGGCUCACUGGCCCGAUACUGACGCUGAGGCACGAAAGCGUGGGGAGCAANCAGGAUUAGAUACCNUGGUAGUCCACGCCGUAAACGAUGAAUGCCAGCCGUUAGUGGGUUUACUCACUAGUGGCGCAGCUAACGCUUUAAGCAUUCCGCCUGGGGAGUACGGUCGCAAGAUUAAAACUCAAAGGAAUUGACGGGGGCCCGCACAAGCGGUGGAGCAUGUGGUUUAAUUCGACGCAACGCGCAGAACCUUACCAGCCCUUGACAUCCCGGUCGCGGACUCCAGAGAUGGAGUUCUUCAGUUCGGCUGGACCGGAGACAGGUGCUGCAUGGCUGUCGUCAGCUCGUGCCGUGAGAUGUUGGGUUAAGUCCCGCAACGAGCGCAACCCCCGUCCUUAGUUGCUACCAUUUAGUUGAGCACUCUAAGGAGACUGCCGGUGAUAAGCCGCGAGGAAGGUGGGGAUGACGUCAAGUCCUCAUGGCCCUUACGGGCUGGGCUACACACGUGCUACAAUGGCGGUGACAAUGGGACGCUAAGGGGCAACCCUUCGCAAAUCUCAAAAAGCCGUCUCAGUUCGGAUUGGGCUCUGCAACUCGAGCCCAUGAAGUUGGAAUCGCUAGUAAUCGUGGAUCAGCACGCCACGGUGAAUACGUUCCCGGGCCUUGUACACACCGCCCGUCACACCAUGGGAGUUGGUUUUACCUGAAGACGGUGCGCUAACCAGCAAUGGAGGCAGCCGGCCACGGUAGGGUCAGCGACUGGGGUG